GAUACCACCCUUGUAGUACUGGGACUCUAACCAUAGGCCAUGAAUCUGGUCUUGGGACACUGUCAGGUGGGCAGUUUGACUGGGGCGGUCGCCUCCCAAAAGGUAACGGAGGCGCUCAAAGGUUCUCUCAGUACGGUCGGAAAUCGUACGUAGAGUGUAAAGGCAAAAGAGAGCUGGAUUGCAAGACAUACAGGUCGAGCAAGGAUGAAAAUCGGACUUAGUGAUCCGGUGGUUCUGCGUGGAAGGGCCAUCGCUCAACGGAUAAAAGCUACCC
rnacentral:rRNA from 1 species